rnacentral:misc_RNA from 1 species
UCCGAGUUGACCCCGGCAGUCUCCUGCGAGUCCCCGCCAUUACGCGCUGGCAACACAGGACAAGGGUUGCGCUCGUUGCGGGACUUAACCCAACAUCUCACGACACGAGCUGACGACAGCCAUGCACCACCUGUAUACCGACCACAAGGGGGGCCGUAUCUCUACGGCUUUCCGGUAUACGUCAAACCCAGGUAAGGUGGGGAUGACGUCCUUGCUAGGUAA